GGGGAGGACGUUGCUCGGAAUAUUAGGGCGUAAGGGCUCGCAGGCGGUUUCUUAAGUCUGAUGUGAAAGCCCCCGGCUCAACCGGGGAGGGUCAUUGGAAACUGGGAAACUUGAGUGCAGAAGAGGAGAGUGGAAUUCCACGUGUAGCGGUGAAAUGCGUAGAGAUGUGGAGGAACACCAGUGGCGAAGGCGACUCUCUGGUCUGUAACUGACGCUGAGGAGCGAAAGCGUGGGGAGCGAACAGGAUUAGAUACCCUGGUAGUCCACGCCGUAAACGAUGAGUGCUAAGUGUUAGGGGGUUUCCGCCCCUUAGUGCUGCAGCUAACGCAUUAAGCACUCCGCCUGGGGAGUACGGUCGCAAGACUGAAACUCAAAGGAAUUGACGGGGGCCCGCACAAGCGGUGGAGCAUGUGGUUUAAUUCGAAGCAACGCGAAGAACCUUACCAGGUCUUGACAUCCUCUGACAACCCUAGAGAUAGGGCUUUCCCUUCGGGGACAGAGUGACAGGUGGUGCAUGGUUGUCGUCAGCUCGUGUCGUGAGAUGUUGGGUUAAGUCCCGCAACGAGCGCAACCCUUGAUCUUAGUUGCCAGCAUUCAGUUGGGCACUCUAAGGUGACUGCCGGUGACAAACCGGAGGAAGGUGGGGAUGACGUCAAAUCAUCAUGCCCCUUAUGACCUGGGCUACACACGUGCUACAAUGGACAGAACAAAGGGCUGCAAGACCGCAAGGUUUAGCCAAUCCCAUAAAUCUGUUCUCAGUUCGGAUCGCAGUCUGCAACUCGACUGCGUGAAGCUGGAAUCGCUAGUAAUCGCGGAUCACAUGCGCGGGGGGAAAAACACUUUCCCGGGGCCUUGUACACACCGCCCGUCACACCACCGAGAGUUUGCAACACCCGAAGUCCGGUGAGGUAACCUUUAUGGAGCCAGCCGCCGAAGGUGGGGCAGAUGAUGGGUGAUAGAAAAAAGGGGAGUUAAAAAAGAGAUAUAUAAAAAAAACGAGCGUGAA
rnacentral:rRNA from 1 species